rnacentral:rRNA from 1 species
UACAGAGGGGGCAAGCGUUGUUCGGAAUUACUGGGCGUAAAGGGCGCGUAGGCGGCCGCCUAAGUCAGACGUGAAAUCCCUCGGCUCAACCGGGGAACUGCGUCUGAUACUGGGUGGCUUGAAUCCGGGAGAGGGAUGCGGAAUUCCAGGUGUAGCGGUGAAAUGCGUAGAUAUCUGGAGGAACACCGGUGGCGAAGGCGGCAUCCUGGACCGGCAUUGACGCUGAGGCGCGAAAGCUAGGGGAGCAAACAGG